GACGGGGGAUGCAAGUGUUAUCCGGAAUCACUGGGCGUAAAGCGUCUGCAGGUGGUUUCCUAAGUCCACUGUUAAACCUUGAGGCUCAACCUCAAAUCUGCAUUGGAAACUAGGAGACUUGAGUAUAGUAGGGGGUAGAGGGAAUUUCCAGUGGAGCGGUGAAAUGCGUAGAUAUUGGAAAGAACACCGAUGGCGAAGGCACUCUACUGGGCUAUACUGACACUCAGAGACGAAAGCUAGGGGAGCAAAUGGG
rnacentral:rRNA from 1 species